rnacentral:rRNA from 1 species
UACGAAGGGGGCUAGCGUUGCUCGGAAUCACUGGGCGUAAAGGGUGCGUAGGCGGGUCUUUAAGUCAGGGGUGAAAUCCUGGAGCUCAACUCCAGAACUGCCUUUGAUACUGAAGAUCUUGAGACCGGAAGAGGUAAGUGGAACUGCGAGUGUAGAGGUGAAAUUCGUAGAUAUUCGCAAGAACACCAGUGGCGAAGGCGGCUUACUGGUCCGGUUCUGACGCUGAGGCGCGAAAGCGUGGGGGGCAAACAGG